rnacentral:rRNA from 1 species
CCGUCGCCAGCUCGUGCCGUGAGAUGUCCUGUUAAGUCAGGUAACGAGCGAGAUCCCUGCCACUAGUUGCUAUCAUUAUUCUCAGGAAUAGUGGGGCGAAUUAGUGGGACUGCCGUUGUUAAAACGGAGGAAGGAAGGGGCCACGGCAGGUCAGUAUGCCCCGAAACUCUGGGGCCACACGCGGGCUGCAAUGGUAGCGACAAUGAGCUCCAAACUCGAAAGAGAGUGGCAAUCUCUAAACGCUACCACAGUUAUGACUGAGGGCUGUAACUCGCCCUCACGAAUAUGGAAUCCCUAGUAACCGCGUGUCAUUACCGCGCGGUGAAUACGUCCCUGCUCCUUGCACACACCGCCCGUCGUUUCAUCGAAGUUUGCUUUUAGUGAGGUGAUGUUUAAUUGACAUUAUCGAACUUGAGGUAAGUGACGAGGGAAAAGUCGUAACAAGGUA